rnacentral:rRNA from 1 species
UAGGGAAUUUUGCGCAAUGGACGAAAGUCUGACGCAGCAAUACCGUGUGAGGGAAGAAGCUCUGUGGAGUGUAAACCUCUGUCGGAAGGGACGAAAUAUUGACGGUACCUUCAAAGGAAGCACCGGCUAACUCUGUGCCAGCAGCCGCGGUAAUACAGAGGGUGCAAGCGUUGUCCGGAUUUAUUGGGCGUAAAGAGUUUGUAGGCUGUUUUACAAGUCUGAAGUGAAAGAAUGGAGCUUAACUCCAUCCACGCUUUGGAAACUGUUUAACUAGAGAAUGUUAGAGGUAAGUGGAAUUUCCAGUGUAGCGGUGAAAUGCGUAGAUAUUGGAAGGAACACCAGAGGCGAAGGCGACUUACUGGGACAUUUCUGACGCUGAGAAACGAAAGCUAGGGGAGCAAAAGGG